GACGAACGCUGGCGGCGUGCUUAACACAUGCAAGUCGAACGGAAAGGCCCUGCUUGCCGGGUACUCGAGUGGCGAACGGGUGAGUAACACGUGGGUGAUCUGCCCUGCACUUCGGGAUAAGCCUGGGAAACUGGGUCUAAUACCGGAUAGGAGCCAUUUUUAGUGUGAUGGUUGGAAAGUUUUUUCGGUGUAGGAUGAGCUCGCGGCCUAUCAGCUUGUUGGUGGGGUAAUGGCCUACCAAGGCGGCGACGGGUAGCCGGCCUGAGAGGGUGGACGGCCACAUUGGGACUGAGAUACGGCCCAGACUCCUACGGGAGGAAGCAGUGGGGAAUAUUGCACAAUGGGCGCAAGCCUGAUGCAGCGACGCCGCGUGGGGGAUGACGGCCUUCGGGUUGUAAACUCCUUUCGCUAGGGACGAAGCUUUUUGUGACGGUACCUAGAUAAGAAGCACCGGCUAACUACGUG
rnacentral:rRNA from 1 species